CCUGCGCCCACUGACCGCCGCGCGUGGCUUCCGCUUCCGGGUCACCUAACGCUACACCUCACUUGCUCUGUCCAAACCUGAAGCCGUCUAACCUAAGGUCACUAUUCGGAGAAUAGGUUGUAAGACCGGAUAUUCCGUAUUAGAAUGAAGGCUGUAGGCGCGCUGUGCUAAUAGAAGAAGAGGAUCUUGCUCGCUUUUCUCUAAAGGGCUAGUCCUGGUUCUGUUAAGGGCCUAGUUCUGGACUUGCUCGACCAAGUGUUAAAGGUUGGAAGUAGAUUCUAGUGUGAUGGAGUUGGCGC